UUUCGUCAGUUUAGGGUCGAAUACAAAGGAAUUCAGGUUGGGUUUGGGUUAGGCAACUUGUAAUGGAAUUCAGUUGCUGACUCAGGUGUACUUGCUAUUGAGCCUUAACCUGUCCCAAGCAGAUUAAAAAAACAACAAAUAUACUAUUGUGGUUUUUUUUUUUUUUUUUUUUUUGUUUUUUGUUUUUCUUUUUGGAGAAAUUUCAGUGACAGACCAAUGGUAACUUUCAUAAAUCUAAAAGUUUCCAUCUUUGGCAAGGCAAUUCGCAUAUUAGAAUUCUAAGAACUGUAUUUUACAAAUCAUUGGAGAAAAUGGAGAGCCCAUAGAAAAAUUAUGCUGAAGAUAGCAAUAAGAAUCAGCUGAUGAUCUUCCUUUGGUCUGCUUGAGCUUAUAAUUGCAUUGCUUUGGGAUUAGUAAGUCUUCUAAAGGCUUAAGUUCUGAGUUUUUGGUUGAAUCGACAGUAUAAUUUCUUUAUAAUUGCUGAAAUUGAUUUCAAGAAAUUGAACGUUGAUGAUGUUCUUCAGAAUUUGCUUAUGUUCCAUUUAGAUUUUCUCAAGAUAUUGUUGAGGUUUAUGGUUAUCACAAUUUGGUGUUAUUAGUAUUGUAGUUUCGGUGAUUAUUGAAUCUAAUUAUGGGGCCAUUUGGAUGCAUCCUCUGAAGGGAUGUUUGAGCCCUAAACGCCAUUUUAAUCUAAACAAUUAGCUUUCAUUUAUCGUCAAGAAAAGAAUGUAAGCCCAACCUUUUCCUUUCAUUGGAGACAUAAUUUUUCAUCCAUUAAGCUUUUUAAUUCCUUCCUUUAUAUUCAAUCACCACUUUGUGGUUGUCAAUAUGGCUCGGUUGUGAAGUUUGUUGAUUUUUUGCAUGGAUUAUUCGAUAGUCGAGACCUAUUUCUUUUAGUGGUGCCCACCUGUAUGUAUGGUUGUCGAAUUUUUCAAAUCUACGAAGUUAUAUGUAUUGUCCCACCCUUUCUGAUAAAAAAAAGAAGUAAAUAAAUAAAAACUCAAGUUACAUGUGAUUUUGGGAACCAGUGCUGAUAAGUCAUCAUAUAAUGAAAUUAUAUUAAAUAAUCCUGACUUGGUGAGUAAUAUGUAUCACAUUUGAUAGAAUUGUCAUCUUUAGGAGACGUAGCCAAGUUCUGCAUUUCUUUUUUAUUCUUUUUUUUUUCCCUUUUUUUUUUUUUUGAAGGAUAAAUGAUGUUACGACACCUAAAUUUUUCGCUUGCUUGAAAAUGUAAAUAUCAUGAUAAUUAAAUAAACUAUUGUUAGAGUGCAAGUAGUAUUAUUUUUGGAAAAAUUGAUGUUUUUUUCUUUCAAUUUUCCCUUUUGUGGCCCAUUAUCAGGUCCACUAUUUUUAUCAUCAUCCCUGUUGAUUCCGUGAUCAGGUGGGCCACAAAGAACAAGAUAAGUUUUAGGCAUGGAUGAAUGGGAGCUAUAGAUCGAUGGAUUUUAUUUAUUUAUUUUUGAAACUGUUCAAUUUAUUAUUGUAAAUAUUAUUCGCGGCAGCUCGAUGCGUGUGAAAGGGCCACAUAGGCAUGUAUUUGUUUUUUACGAAAACAAUCACUAGGCACAAUCUACUUCCUAAGAGGAAUGUGAAAUCAGGUGGGCCUUAACCAAAACGGUCAAUGAUAAGGUCCAUCAUUUUAUGGAAUUAGGAGCAAGUACAUGUACGUUAAGUUGUGAUUCUGGAGCCACCAAAUGCACUCCCUUCAAUGCA